GUCAGUGUGGUGUAGUGGUUUGAGCAUUGGACUAAGACUCUGGAGACUGGGAAUCAAAUCCCCGCUCAGUCA